rnacentral:rRNA from 1 species
UUAAGCGACUAAGCGUACACGGUGGAUGCCCUGGCAGUCAGAGGCGAUGAAGGACGUGCUAAUCUGCGAUAAGCGCCGGUAAGGUGAUAUGAACCGUUAUAACCGGCGAUUUCCGAAUGGGGAAACCCAGUGUGACUCGUCACACUAUCAUUAACUGAAUCCAUAGGUUAAUGAGGCGAACCGGGGGAACUGAAACAUCUAAGUACCCCGAGGAAAAGAAAUCAACCGAGAUUCCCCCAGUAGCGGCGAGCGAACGGGGAUGAGCCCAGAGCCUGAAUCAGCAUGUGUGUUAGUGGAAGCGUCUGGAAAGGCGCGCGAUACAGGGUGACAGCCCCGUACACAAAAGCGCAUAUGCUGUGAGCUCGAUGAGUAGGGCGGGACACGUGGUAUCCUGUCUGAAUAUGGGGGGACCAUCCUCCAAGGCUAAAUACUCCUGACUGACCGAUAGUGAACCAGUACCGUGAGGGAAAGGCGAAAAGAACCCCGGCGAGGGGAGUGAAAAAGAACCUGAAACCGUGUACGUACAAGCAGUGGGAGCCCCACCACUAAGCCAGUGGUGAACUCCACAUACGCAUCCUUUGCUGAGGAUGCGGUUAACGGAGCGAAAGCGACGUUCAACCGCAAAAGAAGCAGAGGGGGCUUAGUGGUGGGGUGACUGCGUACCUUUUGUAUAAUGGGUCAGCGACUUAUAUUCUGUAGCAAGGUUAACCGAAUAGGGGAGCCGGAGGGAAACCGAGUCUUAAUUGGGCGUUAAGUUGCAGGGUAUAGACCCGAAACCCGGUGAUCUAGCCAUGGGCAGGUUGAAGGUUGGGUAACACUAACUGGAGGACCGAACCGACUAAUGUUGAAAAAUUAGCGGAUGACCUGUGGCUGGGGGUGAAAGGCCAAUCAAACCGGGAGAUAGCUGGUUCUCCCCGAAAGCUAUUUAGGUAGCGCCUCGUGAAUUCAUCUCCGGGGGUAGAGCACUGUUUCGGCUAGGGGGCCAUCCCGGCUUACCAACCCGAUGCAAACUGCGAAUACCGGAGAAUGUUAUCACGGGAGACACACGGCGGGUGCUAACGUCCGUCGUGAAGAGGGAAACAACCCAGACCGCCAGCUAAGGUCCCAAAGUCAUGGUUAAGUGGGAAACGAUGUGGGAAGGCCCAGACAGCCAGGAUGUUGGCUUAGAAGCAGCCAUCAUUUAAAGAAAGCGUAAUAGCUCACUGGUCGAGUCGGCCUGCGCGGAAGAUGUAACGGGGCUAAACCAUGCACCGAAGCUGCGGCAGCGACACUAUGUGUUGUUGGGUAGGGGAGCGUUCUGUAAGCCUGUGAAGGUGGCCUGUGAGGGUUGCUGGAGGUAUCAGAAGUGCGAAUGCUGACAUAAGUAACGAUAAAGCGGGUGAAAAGCCCGCUCGCCGGAAGACCAAGGGUUCCUGUCCAACGUUAAUCGGGGCAGGGUGAGUCGACCCCUAAGGCGAGGCCGAAAGGCGUAGUCGAUGGGAAACGGGUUAAUAUUCCCGUACUUGGUGUUACUGCGAAGGGGGGACGGAGAAGGCUAUGUUGGCCGGGCGACGGUUGUCCCGGUUUAAGCGUGUAGGUGUGUGUUCCAGGUAAAUCCGGUUCACUUUAACACUGAGGCGUGAUGACGAGGCACUACGGUGCUGAAGCAACAAAUGCCCUGCUUCCAGGAAAAGCCUCUAAGCAUCAGGUAACAUCAAAUCGUACCCCAAACCGACACAGGUGGUCAGGUAGAGAAUACCAAGGCGCUUGAGAGAACUCGGGUGAAGGAACUAGGCAAAAUGGUGCCGUAACUUCGGGAGAAGGCACGCUGACAUGUAGGUGAAGUGAUUUACUCAUGGAGCUGAAGUCAGUCGAAGAUACCAGCUGGCUGCAACUGUUUAUUAAAAACACAGCACUGUGCAAACACGAAAGUGGACGUAUACGGUGUGACGCCUGCCCGGUGCCGGAAGGUUAAUUGAUGGGGUCAGCGCAAGCGAAGCUCCUGAUCGAAGCCCCGGUAAACGGCGGCCGUAACUAUAACGGUCCUAAGGUAGCGAAAUUCCUUGUCGGGUAAGUUCCGACCUGCACGAAUGGCGUAAUGAUGGCCAGGCUGUCUCCACCCGAGACUCAGUGAAAUUGAACUCGCUGUGAAGAUGCAGUGUACCCGCGGCAAGACGGAAAGACCCCGUGAACCUUUACUAUAGCUUGACACUGAACAUUGAGCCUUGAUGUGUAGGAUAGGUGGGAGGCUUUGAAGUGUGGACGCCAGUCUGCAUGGAGCCGGCCUUGAAAUACCACCCUUUAAUGUUUGAUGUUCUAACGUGGACCCGUGAUCCGGGUUGCGGACAGUGUCUGGUGGGUAGUUUGACUGGGGCGGUCUCCUCCUAAAGAGUAACGGAGGAGCACGAAGGUUGGCUAAUCCUGGUCGGACAUCAGGAGGUUAGUGCAAUGGCAUAAGCCAGCUUGACUGCGAGCGUGACGGCGCGAGCAGGUGCGAAAGCAGGUCAUAGUGAUCCGGUGGUUCUGAAUGGAAGGGCCAUCGCUCAACGGAUAAAAGGUACUCCGGGGAUAACAGGCUGAUACCGCCCAAGAGUUCAUAUCGACGGCGGUGUUUGGCACCUCGAUGUCGGCUCAUCACAUCCUGGGGCUGAAGUAGGUCCCAAGGGUAUGGCUGUUCGCCAUUUAAAGUGGUACGCGAGCUGGGUUUAGAACGUCGUGAGACAGUUCGGUCCCUAUCUGCCGUGGGCGCUGGAGAACUGAGGGGGGCUGCUCCUAGUACGAGAGGACCGGAGUGGACGCAUCACUGGUGUUCGGGUUGUCAUGCCAAUGGCACUGCCCGGUAGCUAAAUGCGGAAGAGAUAAGUGCUGAAAGCAUCUAAGCACGAAACUUGCCCCGAGAUGAGUUCUCCCUGAGACUUAGAGUCUCCUGAAGGAACGUUGAAGACGACGACGUUGAUAGGCCGGGUGUGUAAGCGCAGCGAUGCGUUGAGCUAACCGGUACUAAUGAACCGUGAGGCUUAACCUU